GCCGGUUUAGCUUAGUGGUAGAGCGUCAGUCUUGUAAACUGAAGGUCGGCGGUUCAAUCUCGCCAACCGGCU
rnacentral:tRNA from 1 species